AGCCUUCUGUAUCCGUGCUGAGAUUUCGUCACACACCAAACCACAAGGGCUGAU
rnacentral:pre_miRNA from 1 species